GACGAACGCUGGCGGCGUGCUUAACACAUGCAAGUCGAACGGAAAGGCCCUGCUUUUGUGGGGUGCUCGAGUGGCGAACGGGUGAGUAACACGUGAGUAACCUGCCCUUGACUUUGGGAUAACUUCAGGAAACUGGGGCUAAUACCGGAUAGGAGCUCCUGCUGCAUGGUGGGGGUUGGAAAGUUUCGGCGGUUGGGGAUGGACUCGCGGCUUAUCAGCUUGUUGGUGGGGUAGUGGCUUACCAAGGCUUUGACGGGUAGCCGGCCUGAGAGGGUGACCGGCCACAUUGGGACUGAGAUACGGCCCAGACUCCUACGGGAGGCAGCAGUGGGGAAUAUUGCACAAUGGGCGGAAGCCUGAUGUAGCAACGCCGCGUGCGGGAUGACGGCCUUCGGGUUGUAAACCGCUUUCGCCUGUGACGAAGCGUGAGUGACGGUAAUGGGUAAGGAAGCACCGGCUAACUACGUG
rnacentral:rRNA from 1 species